rnacentral:rRNA from 1 species
UACGUAGGGGGCAAGCGUUGUCCGGAUUUACUGGGCGUAAAGGGCUCGUAGGCGGCCAACUAAGUCGGACGUGAAAUCCCCAGGCUCAACCUGGGAACUGCGUCCGAUACUGGAUGGCUUGAAUUCGGGAGAGGGAUGCAGAAUUCCAGGUGUAGCGGUGAAAUGCGUAGAUAUCUGGAGGAAUACCGGUGGCGAAGGCGGCAUCCUGGACCGACAUUGACGCUGAGGAGCGAAAGCUAGGGGAGCAAACGGG